rnacentral:rRNA from 1 species
GAUGAACGCUGGCGGCGUGCCUAAUACAUGCAAGUCGAGCGAACGGACGAGAAGCUUGCUUCUCUGAUGUUAGCGGCGGACGGGUGAGUAACACGUGGAUAACCCACCUAUAAGACUGGGAUAACUUCGGGAAACCGGAGCUAAUACCGGAUAAUAUUUUGAACCGCAUGGUUCAAAAGUGAAAGACGGUCUUGCUGUCACUUAUAGAUGGAUCCGCGCUGCAUUAGCUAGUUGGUAAGGUAACGGCUUACCAAGGCAACGAUGCAUAGCCGACCUGAGAGGGUGAUCGGCCACACUGGAACUGAGACACGGUCCAGACUCCUACGGGAGGCAGCAGUAGGGAAUCUUCCGCAAUGGGCGAAAGCCUGACGGAGCAACGCCGCGUGAGUGAUGAAGGUCUUCGGAUCGUAAAACUCUGUUAUUAGGGAAGAACAUAUGUGUAAGAAACUGUGCACAUCUUGACGUUACCUAAUCAGAAAGCCACGGCUAACUACGUG